AACUCAUCAGAAUUAUGGCAGUGGAGUCUAUACCUUCCAACUUCACUAGAACAAAAAAGCUUUCUCAGAGACAUGGGAUGAAGUUUCUAGCUGACCCGGGAUUUCCAGUGUCUUUUUGGGAUGGAUGUCCUUCCUUUGGAUGCUGUCUGUCUUUUGGCAGACUUAGAGAUGCAUAAAGCGGUACCUUCAGCAUGUCAACACAAAAAUGUUAGCAAGAUGAUGACACAUACUUCCCAGUUCCUCACAUUUCAA
rnacentral:lncRNA from 12 species